rnacentral:rRNA from 1 species
AUUGAACGCUGGCGGAAUGCUUCACACAUGCAAGUCGAACGGCAGCACGGGGGCAACCCUGGUGGCGAGUGGCGAACGGGUGAGUAAUACAUCGGAACGUGCCCAGUCGUGGGGGAUAACGUAGCGAAAGCUACGCUAAUACCGCAUACGAACUCUGGUUGAAAGCGGGGGAUCGCAAGACCUCGCGCGAUGGGAGCGGCGGAUGGCAGAUUAGGUAGUUGGGGGGGUAAAGGCCUACCAAGCCGACGAUCUGUAGCUGGUCUGAGAGGACGACCAGCCACACUGGGACUGAGACACGGCCCAGACUCCUACGGGAGGCAGCAGUGGGGAAUUUUGGACAAUGGGCGAAAGCCUGAUCCAGCCAUUCCGCGUGCAGGAUGAAGGCCCUCGGGUUGUAAACUGCUUUUGUACGGAACGAAACGCGCUGUGCUAAUACCACGGCGUAAUGACGGUACCGUAAGAAUAAGCACCGGCUAACUACGUGCCAGCAGCCGCCGUAACAC